GGUUGACUAGCUCAGUUGGUAGAGCAGCUGACUCUUAAUCAGCGGGUCCGGGGUUCGAGCCCCCGGUCAAUCACCA
rnacentral:tRNA from 1 species